UUGAGUCCAUUCAUAUUCGUGAACCAAAUUUGCUUGGCUCCUGUCUGGGGGCCGAAUUUUAACACCAUUUGAUUUGUCUGACAGAAAUUAUUAAAAAUUUA
rnacentral:misc_RNA from 1 species